UGGUAAGCUGUUAGUGAGAACGCAGAUUAGGUACAGUAGCAGCAGAUAAAGAAGCCCUUCGGGAGCUUAGCUACAUACGCAAUGAGAGAGGUUUGCCUCUCUUACCGUUGUUUAGCUGCGGGGAAAAGAGACUCAACCUCAGAAAUAAGGCAUAAGGAGAGGUUAAGAAAAGGCUCUUAUUGAGAGAGCCUCUCCUUAACCCUUGCUAGCAGCCUUGAGGUUCUGUUUACCAUGCUUUUCUACCGUACUUAAUUCAAGAAAUCCUUCAUCAGUGGUUGUGAAUGACUGAUUUUUCUCAUUGAAUACAAAUUAAGCCACUAUGCGCUCACUAGAAAGAUCAUAAGAGAAGAUGCCAUUGAAUCAGAAGCCAUACAAUCUUGCAGUGCCCUAACUUUGAGGUGACGUUUAGUGCCUAGGAAAUUGCCUCACCACUGCCAAGAGGCACUCGAGGCUAGUAUCUUAUUGGUUUAGCAGUGCCCUUGCUGUAUAUUACAUGAGUGGCCCAGAAUUUGAGACACCCGGUGUAAUUGCUUGAGUAAUUACAGUAUGUAUCCAGUAUUAACAUAAAGCUGGGAAGCACUUCACUUUGUUCUCAUUUAAAUAUUAAAUACAUGAUCUCAUUUUGGAGCCUGCCUUCAAUCACUUGAGUGGUGAUUUAUGGAAAACCUUUUGGCUUUAUUUCCUUUUGAGAUAUUCAAAUCUGACAUAUCUCUGUUAACUUGCACAAUCAAACAAUUUUAUUUGGCAUUAGAAUUUUUUAAAUAGUGAAGCACCAUAAGUAGAACUGCAAAAUUACCUAUCCAGUUUUUCAAUCCUAUCAAGCAGGAACUUGGCGUCACUGCCCUUCAUAUUAAGCUUCGUGCUACUGGUGGGAACAAGACAAAGACACCUGGUCCAGAUGCACAGUCUGCCCUGCGUGCCCUUGCCCGUUCUGGAAUGAGAAUUGGCCGCAUAGAAGAUGUUACUCCAAUUCCAACAGAUAGCACUCGUAGAAAGGGUGGUAGAAGAGGGAGAAGGCUUUGAUCUUGAAGGAUCUGUUUUUAUUUGGUUCCAAAUGGAGACUUCUUUCUUCGACUUUAGUAAAGUUACUUUGCAGUUCAGAAUUGCUGUUUAGAUUUUUGCAUUCACCUUUGCAAUGAUUCAUGUUGAUCUCAUGUAGAAACAAGAGGUUGUGAAGCACUUGAAAUUUUGCUUUGGUAGAUUAUGAAAUGCUAUGUAUGGUCUAUUAAUAGUUUUCCGUUGUAGCUUAGUUAAAACGA